UCAGGCUGUCAAUUUACAUGGUCUAAUAAGUAGAGUCCUGGUGCUACAAUCUCCACUAAGUUAGACAGGGUUCUCUAGUUAAUGAAAACUGGAUCAUAUCUUUCUGUUGAUCCAAUGCUCAUUUUCUAUCCCCUGGUGUGUCUGAUCACUCUCCUGCAGUUGUUUACCUUACUCCUGCCCCUAAAACUGCUAAGAAGCCUUUUAGAUUUUCAAUUGCAGACCAUUCCCAAUUCCUACCAAUUGUCCAGCAGGUUUGGAGGAGGAUUGUGAUAGGGAAUCAAAUGAAGUGUUUGCGAAAAGCUCAAGUUACUACAAAUUGAGUUCAAAAAGUUAAACACUAGCAAUUUCAGUGACAUAUUUGGCAAGUAUUGGAAGCUAGUUUAUCAAAAAAAGUAUUGGAAGCUAGAAAGGAGCUGGAAAGUGUUCAAACUAAGCUUGGAACUGAUCCUGGUUUGGUCCCUAAAUUCCCCAAUCCUUCCAAGGUUGGGGAUUUCAGACCUAUUUCUUGUUGCAAUUCCAUCUACAAAUGCAUUGCAAAAAUUUUGGCCAAUAGACUGCAAGUCUUUCUUCCACACCUCAUUGACCCUGUCCAAUCUGGAUUUGUUAAGGGCAGAAGGAUUGCAGAUAAUAUCUCUCACCCUGGAAUUGAUGAGGGGGUUCUCCCGAACAACGCUGAACAAUAUUAAGCACAUGCAAGGCGCAAGGGGUGUCACGUAAUACAAACCCCCACCGAUCAGAGUGUUGGUCGGUGGACCCUUAAAGCAAGGGUAUGUAGGAACUGCCAAACAAAUGUGUUCGGCAAGUUGUUUGUUCCCGAACAAGGAGCAAACCCAUAUGUCAAACCGCUCUAAGCGACAAAGCAGCUAGAGUAUUCUGGAAUAUCCCAUAAUACAUGCAUUCCAUGAUAGAAUGUGAUCCUGUGAAUAAAGGAUCUGAUAGAGUUUCCCAAUGAGGAAGGGAAUUCAGCUUGAUAUCGGAAGAGAGUCCCAUAGGGACUGGUUCUGUACGGGAUAGGAAACCUAGGGCAACAAGGAUGCUUGGGGGGCAAGCAUAUCUAAACCUAUAAAUACAAGGUAAAACCUGAGUGGAAAGCUACACUGUCAUUACUUACUUACAUAUGUAAUAUUAGGGUUUUCGGUAUACGAAUUACUUAGGCAUCGGAGGACCUUUGCCGACGAGAGGCAAAGUGCGCUCACCAGUGUCUGUUUUGCAGUCUAGGGUUCCGGCAAGGAAUCAUGUGAGGUUGAUCAAAGAAAAAUAAAUUUUCCCCUUACAGGUAUCACAAGAAUUCCUCUUGUCCCAGGUGUGCCAUGAAAGUGGACAUCAUGAAGGCCUAUGACAAUGUUCGAUGGGAAUUCCUUUGGGAUGUCCUUGGUUCUAUGAAUAUUCACCCUCAAUUAUACAAUGGCUUCAAGCAUUUGUCUCUACUGCCAACUAUUCUAUGAGUAUCAAUGGGGAGGUCACUGGGUUUAUCCCUGGUAAGAGAGGCUUGAGGCAAGGAGACCCAUUGUCCUCCUAUAUUUUUGUCAUAGUUAUGGAGGUCUUAACUUAAAACCCUCCUCCCUGAUUUUCAAUUUCAUUGGAAGUGUGGGUUGAACAGGUUGGUUAAUCUGUGCUUUGCAGAUGAUCUUAUGAUCUUUUGCAAGGGGGAAGUAAGCUCCAUUACUCACUUUCAAUCUUCUUUGAGCCCUGGGGAGAGCAACUUUUUCUUCUCUAGGGUUAAUCAUACUUCCAAGUGUGCUAUUCUGGACAUCCUAGGAUUUAAGGAAGGCUCUUUACCAGUUAGAUACCUUGUUGUUCCUCUUCUAUCCACCAAAUUCAAACACUCUGACUGCAAAACUAUGGUGGAUAGAAUUGUGAUCAAAACUAAAUCUUGGACCAAUAGAUACCUCUCCUACGCUGGUAGGAUUCAGUUAAUAAAGUCCAUUUUGUUCUUGAUGCAAACGUACUGGUCCUCACUCUUUAUAAUUCCUAUAAGGGUUGUCAAAGAAAUAAAAACGAUCCUUAGAUCUUUCUUCUGGUCUGGUCCAGAUCUUAAAAAAUCUGGGGCCAACUCAAGCCCAAUGAAGAGGGGAAGAAUAAUGCACGUGCAUGUGUGUGAGAGAGGGAGAGAGAGAGAGAGAGAGAGAGAGAGAGAGAGAGAGAGAGAGAGAGAGGCAAUAGUGUCGGGCUCGAUUCCAAAACUGGAAA